GACGAACGCUGGCGGCGUGCUUAACACAUGCAAGUCGAACGCUGAAGCACCAGCUUGCUGGUGUGGAUGAGUGGCGAACGGGUGAGUAAUACGUGAGUAACCUGCCCUUGACUCUAGGAUAAGCCCGGGAAACUGGGUCUAAUACUGGAUGCUACAUGUCACCGCAUGGUGGUGUGUGGAAAGGGUUUACUGGUCUUGGAUGGGCUCACGGCCUAUCAGCUUGUUGGUGAGGUAAUGGCUCACCAAGGCGACGACGGGUAGCCGGCCUGAGAGGGUGACCGGCCACACUGGGACUGAGACACGGCCCAGACUCCUACGGGAGGCAGAGGUGGGGAAUAUUGCACAAUGGGCGAAAGCCUGAUGCAGCGACGCCGCGUGAGGGAUGACGGCCUUCGGGUUGUAAACCUCUUUCAGCAGGGAAGAAGCCACAAGUGACGGUACCUGCAGAAGAAGCGCCGGCUAACUACGUG
rnacentral:rRNA from 1 species